AUAUGCUUGUCUCAAAGAUUAAGCCAUGCAUGUCUAAGUAUAAGCAAUUAUACAGCGAAACUGCGAAUGGCUCAUUAAAUCAGUUAUCGUUUAUUUGAUAGUACCUUACUACAUGGAUAACCGUGGUAAUUCUAGAGCUAAUACAUGCUAAAAAUCCCGACUUCGGAAGGGAUGUAUUUAUUAGAUUAAAAACCAAUGCCCUUCGGGGCUCUCUGGUGAUUCAUAAUAACUUCUCGAAUCGCACGGCCUUGCGCCGGCGAUGGUUCAUUCAAAUUUCUGCCCUAUCAACUUUCGACGGCUGGGUCUUGGCCAGCCGUGGUGACAACGGGUAACGGAGGGUUAGGGCUCGACCCCGGAGAAGGAGCCUGAGAAACGGCUACUACAUCCAAGGAAGGCAGCAGGCGCGCAAAUUACCCAAUCCCGACACGGGGAGGUAGUGACAAUAAAUACUGAUACAGGGAUCUUUCGGGUCUUGUAAUUGGAAUGAGUACAAUUUAAUCCCUUAACGAGGAACAAUUGGAGGNNNNNNNNNNNNNNNNNNNNNGCGGUAAUUCCAGCUCCAAUAGCGUAUAUUAAAGUUGUUGAGGUUAAAAAGCUCGUAGUUGAACCUUGGGCCUAGCCGGCCGGUCCGCCUCACCGCGUGCACUGGCUCGGCUGGGUCUUUCCUUCUGGAGAACCGCAUGCCCUUCACUGGGUGUGCCGGGGAACCAGGACUUUUACUCUGAAUAAAUUAGAUCGCUUAAAGAAGGCCUAUGCUCGAAUACAUUAGCAUGGAAUAAUAGAAUAGGACGUGUGGUUCUAUUUUGUUGGUUUCUAGGACCGCCGUAAUGAUUAAUAGGGACAGUCGGGGGCAUCAGUAUUCAAUUGUCAGAGGUGAAAUUCUUGGAUUUAUUGAAGACUAACUACUGCGAAAGCAUUUGCCAAGGAUGUUUUCAUUAAUCAGGAACGAAAGUUAGGGGAUCGAAGACGAUCAGAUACCGUCGUAGUCUUAACCAUAAACUAUGCCGAUUAGGGAUCGGACGGCGUUAUUUUUUGACCCGUUCGGCACCUUACGAUAAAUCAAAAUGUUUGGGCUC
rnacentral:rRNA from 1 species